GGCAACGAGCACGGAGCACCGUCAAAUGCCUCGUGCAUGAAUGAUGUGGCCAUCUGGCCAGUGGCCACGACAGGUUCCAGGUUCCAUCGAAUCGGCUAGAGAUCAGAUCAUUCGUCCAUUUUGCAUUGCGAUGUGCCUUUCCAUGAAAGAAGGCUUACUUACAGCUCAAUUCGUUUUUUGUCGUAUAAUCCACCACCACCGCCGCCGCCGGAAGAUGAUGAGGAUUUAGCAGGUUCAUCCGCUCAUGUGCUACUUGUAUUGCACGGUUUUGCGGGGGGAAACGUGAUGAUUUUACUCCGGACGAGCAGAACCGGCGAAGUGAAAGCUCGACGACGAUGUCCUCUUCCGAUUUCCACGGAGGCACAGAAGGAAAAAAUCGCCACCUUAAAGUCCAAGCUGAUGGAGCAAAGGCAAAAACAAUUACUAUAUUCCAAACUUACAAGCUCCUCUCUCUCCGAUCAUAUCCACACACCAACUCAGCCGUAUGAACAAAAUCCUCCCUAUUUAAGACGGGCGUCGCUGGCUUCAAAUACGCCCCCAAAAUCUACCCUUGGUCCAUUUGCUCGGAUCCCUGCCCCCGUUCCUGAUCGAUUAUAGAAAUUUCACCCUUUCUCCAGAAAUUUCCGGCUUGUUUCGGUCCGGGGCUGCAGCGCUCCGCUGCUCCUAGGUUUGAUUUUCGAGCGGUAGCUUGCGUCUCCGUGGGUAAAGAUUGGAUUUUGAGCGGAUUUGGGGGCGUUUCUGCCUGAUCCGGGACCAUCUUACCUCUGUGAGUGUGAGGUAAGGUCCCGGGGGUUGGAUUUCGGGGUGGGAGAUUUUUGAUGGUCCAUUGAGAUUCGGCCGGAGCGAAGAUGACGAUCGACAUGUCCAUGCCCGGGAGCUCCGGGCUUCUGAACACGGUGGGGAAGAGGAACAUGAAAUUCUUCGGCAACCGCUAUGUGCUCGCGCUCACGGGCGCCGCAGGAAUCGGCGGGUUUCUCUUCGGCUACGACACAGGUGUCAUAUCUGGAGCCCUUUUGUAUAUCCGUGAUGAAUUUCCAGCUGUCAGAGACAAUUACUUCCUACAGGAAACUAUUGUUAGCAUGGCCUUAGUCGGAGCCAUGCUAGGAGCUGCUGGGGGUGGUUGGAUAAAUGAUGCAUAUGGUCGCAAGAAGUCUACUCUUCUUGCUGAUUUGAUGUUUGCACUUGGCUCAAUUGUCAUGUGUGCUGCUGGCGGUCCUUACAUUCUAAUUCUCGGAAGGCUCCUCGUUGGGUUGGGCGUGGGUGUGGCAUCGGUCACGGCACCAUUAUACAUUGCUGAAGCUGCUCCAUCAGAAAUUAGGGGAGGUUUGGUGUCGAUUAAUGUACUCAUGAUUACUGGUGGCCAAUUCUUCUCCUACCUUAUCAAUCUCGGCUUUACUGAGGUACUAAAUCUCCACUCAUGAUCCUCUAUUCAGCCAUUCCUUUGAAAUACUUCUCGGCCCAAGUCUCAAUUAGGGACAACUAGAAAUUAGGGGAACUUGCACCCUAUCUUUAAGCUCAGCAAGACAAAGCAACUAUGUUUUGUUUCAGUUGCAUCAAAAGCUCUUACUAUCCUGAUUUGUGAAUGUGACUUGCAUUGUACAUAAUCCCAGAAACUAAAGACAAUAUUGAAUAUUCCUUACAUGCACUGAUACUACUUUGAUGUUGUGCACUUUCUCAAGAACCUUGUAGAAAAGCUGCAUCUCACAAGAAUGUUUUUUCAGCACGGCAAGUUUACCCCAAUCUGUUCUUUUUUAUGCAUAUUUCUACAUGGUGUUAACAUCCUUGUUGGUGCUAGUUAAUUGUUUAACAUUCUGUACUGUGAAUGAACAAGAGUCGGCGUUCCCCUGCCAGCAGCAAUGGAAUUAUUUCUGACAAGGUGCUGUUCGGUUCCUGGAACAUGGCGCUGGAUGCUUGGAGUUGCUGCUGUGCCUGCCAUUGUACAGUUUGUGCUGAUGCUUUUUCUGCCAGAAUCUCCCCGUUGGCUUUACUGGAAGGUUAUUGCCUUUUGGUUCAGUUAUGCAUUGUCUCAUUUGAUGUGAUAUCCUGUUCUCAUCUUAGUUUUCAUUACAGGAUGAGAAGGCACAAUCUAUUGCUGUCCUGGAGAAGAUCUACGACUCUGAUCGUUUGGAAGAAGAGGUAGAGCUGCUUGCUUCAUCUUCCAUGCAUGAAUUCCAGGCUGACAAUACUGCAAGCUAUUUGGACGUCUUCAAGUCAAAGGAAUUAAGACUAGCGUUUUUGGCUGGAGCUGGUCUUCAGGCCUUCCAACAAUUCACUGGGAUCAACACCGUCAUGUAUUACAGCCCCACGAUCGUCCAGAUGGCUGGUUUCACUUCCAACAAAUUGGCCUUGCUCCUUUCCCUCUUUGUCGCUGCGAUGAACGCUGCUGGGACCAUUGUUGGAAUCUACCUUAUCGACCGUUGUGGCCGCCGUCGCCUGGCCCUUACAAGCCUGUCCGGUGUCGUGAUCUCCCUUGUCAUCCUUGCUAUGGCCUUCAUACUGCAGUCAUCAUCCAGCCUCUGCAUGGCUGCUGCUAACGGCACCUGCCAAGGCGCGCUAGGCUGGUUCGCGGUGGCAGGUCUCGCCCUGUACAUCGCCUCCUUCUCUCCAGGCAUGGGCCCGGUCCCGUGGGCUGUGAACUCGGAGAUCUACCCUGAGGCAUACCGUGGAAUGUCCGGGGGCAUGUCAGCCACCAUCAACUGGAUCUCCAACCUCAUCAUGGCGCAGACGUUCCUCUCGAUCGUGGGGCUGGUUGGGGCCGGCGUGACCUUCCUGAUCAUUGCCGGAAUCGGGGUGCUGGCCUUCAUCUUCGUGGCACUGUACGUACCGGAGACGAAGGGCCUGAGCUUUGAGCAGGUGGAGCAGCUCUGGAAGAAGAGAGCGUGGGGAAGCCGUGGCAACUGCCAGAGCCUUUUGGGUGCUGAGCUGUAGGCUAUAAACAUUUUAGCACUGAUCAAGCAUGGCAGCAACGGUGGCGUCAGUUUUAAGAUGGCUGCGUUGCGCUUGAUCGCCUCCAUCCGGCUAAAAAGAAGGUUCGUAAGAAAGCUGGAUGCAGAUCCAAACUGUACUCUGUGGUGGCAGAUUGCAAUUCUGUUGCCCGAUUGUAUGUAAUGGCCGUAGUGCCCAGUGAAAAAUGUUCAGUGUCGGUAAAAGGAUCAGAGUCUUCCGUUGCGUUGGGUUGUGCCAGAAGAAGGCCUGUAGGCCUCAUAUGGCCAUAUUUGGGUUAUAUUUUGUACAGCUUUCGGCUUCGAAUGUGCCGGAGCGAAGACAAAUUCAAAUUGUUUGGAAAUGGAGAAAAGUUGCAAUUCA